AUUGAACGCUGGCGGCGUGCCUAAUACAUGCAAGUCGAACGCAGUGGGGCCGGGUGAGUAACAAGUGGGUAUCCUCCCAUCAGAGGGGAUAACACUUGGAAACAGGUGCUAAACCGAUACUGAUGGAUGGACCCGCGGUGCAUUAGCUAGUUGGUGAGGUAACGGCUAACCAAGGCCACGAUGCAUAGCCGAUCGUAGAGGGUGGUCAGCCACACGGGGACUGAGACACGGCCCAGACGCCUACGGGAGGGAGCAGUAGGGAAUCGUCGGCAAGGAACUAAAGUCUGACCGAGCAACGCCGCGUGAGUGAAGAAGGUUUUCGGAUCGUAAAACUCUGUUGUUAGAGAAGCGGUAUCUAACCAGAAAGCCACGGCUAACUACGUGCCAGCAGCCGCGGUAAUUC
rnacentral:rRNA from 1 species